CUCCAGUGUCAGCCGUCGUUCCUCCGUCGUCGUCGUCGUCGUCGUCGUUGUCGUUGUUGUUGCGGUUCUCGUUGCUGUCGUCUUCGUUGCUUUCGUCUUCGUCGUCGUCGCAGUUCCACGAGCUCCGUGAACCGACCACGUUGCAACGCAAGCUCCCGACGACCCCAGAGAAACCGAAAGAUCCCCGAAACUUGGGCGUCGAUCGAUGCUCGAAGAUCUUCGGCAGCUCUUCGCAAGCUCCGACCGAAAAUGGAAUUCGACAUUUCACGCGCAACGACGAUUCAAGCGUCCACCCUAAUCAGCGCGAGAGCACGCAGCAUCCCCUAAAUCGACCACGGAGAAAAUGUUACCUUGACAGUUGCGCAGUCGGAGCAGGAGGAGUUAAUGAACGAUGAUCCAGCAGUGACGAGCGAAUCUGCAAAGAACAGAAUCAGACGGGGGCGCCGGAUGUCGCAUGAUUCGUAAGAGUGUGGGGCGGGUGGGGCGGGAUGGAUGGAUCUGAGUGCUCGCAGAGACCGACACGCGGUAACAAAAAAAAAACAGAAUAUCCCAAAGAACUGUAUCAAAGUGCCUCUGUUGUCCUUUUUUCAAAGUAUCUUUCCAAGUCAAUAAAAAAUUCCAAGUGAA